rnacentral:rRNA from 1 species
UACGGGGGGAGCAAGCGUUGUUCGGAUUUACUGGGCGUAAAGGGCGCGUAGGCGGUCAGCACAAGUCAGUUGUGAAAUCUCCGGGCUUAACUCGGAAAGGUCAACUGAUACUGUGCGACUAGAGUGCAGAAGGGGCAACUGGAAUUCUCGGUGUAGCGGUGAAAUGCGUAGAUAUCAGGAGGAACACCGGUGGCGAAGGCGGAUCUCUGGGCCUGUUCUGACGCUGAGGCGCGAAAGCUAGGGGAGCGAACAGG